UUGUGAAUCGUAUAAUGGCUAUUACAAUAGAUUGCAAAUCUAUUAAUACCGGUUCAAAUCCGGUUUCACUCU
rnacentral:tRNA from 1 species